AGUGCACAUUGCUAGAACUUGGAGCUGAGGCCACUCAGUGGCCAAUGAACUCUGAGAGUAGGAAAUGUGCAACACUAUUACGCAGGAAUCUCUAACACUGCUCGAGUCUCUGGCUCAGUCAGUAAGGUUUGGUAGUAAUCCCUGCUACAUUG